GACGAACGCUGGCGGCGUGCCUAAUACAUGCAAGUCGAACGCUGAAGGAGGAGCUUGCUUCUCCGGAUGAGUUGCGAACGGGUGAGUAACGCGUAGGUAACCUGCCUGGUAGCGGGGGAUAACUAUUGGAAACGAUAGCUAAUACCGCAUAACAGUAGAUAUUGCAUGAUAUCUGCUUGAAAGGUUCAAUUGCAUCACUACCAGAUGGACCUGCGUUGUAUUAGCUAGUUGGUGAGGUAACGGCUCACCAAGGCGACGAUACAUAGCCGACCUGAGAGGGUGAUCGGCCAAACUGGGGCUGGGACACGGCCCAGACUCCUACGGGAGGCAGCAGUAGGGAAUCUUCGGCAAUGGACGGAAGUCUGACCGAGCAACGCGGCGGGAGUGAAGAAGGUUUUCGGAUCGUAAAGCUCUGUUGUAAGAGAAGAACGAGUGUGAGAGUGGAAAGUUCACACUGUGACGGUAGCUUACCAGAAAGGGACGGCUAACUACGUG
rnacentral:rRNA from 1 species